CCUACGGGAGGCAGCAGUGAGGAAUAUUGGUCAAUGGACGAGAGUCUGAACCAGCCAAGUAGCGUGAAGGAUGACUGCCCUAUGGGUUGUAAACUUCUUUUAUAUGGGAAUAAAACGUUCCACGUGUGGGAUUUUGUAUGUACCAUAUGAAUAAGGAUCGGCUAACUCCGUGCCAGCAGCCGCGGUAAUACGGAGGAUCCGAGCGUUAUCCGGAUUUAUUGGGUUUAAAGGGAGCGUAGGUGGAUUGUUAAGUCAGUUGUGAAAGUUUGCGGCUCAACCGUAAAAUUGCAGUUGAAACUGGCAGUCUUGAGUACAGUAGAGGUGGGCGGAAUUCGUGGUGUAGCGGUGAAAUGCUUAGAUAUCACGAAGAACUCCGAUUGCGAAGGCAGUUCACUGGACUGCAACUGACACUGAGGCUCGAAAGUGUGGGUAUCAAACAGGAUUAGAUACCCCGGUAGGC
rnacentral:rRNA from 1 species